UACGUAGGGGGCAAGCGUUGUCCGGAUUUAUUGGGCGUAAAGAGCGUGUAGGCGGUUUGGUAGGUCCGCUGUGAAAACUCGAGGCUCAACCUCGAGACGCCGGUGGAAACCAUCAGACUAGAGUCCGGAAGAGGAGAAUGGAAUUCCUGGUGUAGCGGUGAAAUGCGCAGAUAUCAGGAAGAACACCCGUGGCUAAGGCGGCUCUCUAGUACGGUACUGACGCUGAGACGCGAAAGCGUGGGGAGCGAACAGG
rnacentral:rRNA from 1 species